UGGGGAAUUUUGGACAAUGGGCGCAAGCCUGAUCCAGCCAUGCCGCGUGCGGGAAGAAGGCCUUCGGGUUGUAAACCGCUUUUGUCAGGGAAGAAAUCUUCUGAGUUAAUACCUCGGGAGGAUGACGGUACCUGAAGAAUAAGCACCGGCUAACUACGUGCCAGCAGCCGCGGUAAUACGUAGGGUGCAAGCGUUAAUCGGAAUUACUGGGCGUAAAGCGUGCGCAGGCGGUUUUGUAAGACAGAGGUGAAAUCCCCGGGCUCAACCUGGGAACUGCCUUUGUGACUGCAAGGCUUGAGUGCGGCAGAGGGGGGAUGGAAUUCCGCGUGUAGCAGUGAAAUGCGUAGAUAUGCGGAGGAACACCGAUGGCGAAGGCAAUCCCCUGGGCCUGCACUGACGCUCAUGCACGAAAGCGUGGGGAGCAAAACAGGAUUAGAUACCCUGGUAGUCCACGCCCUAAAACGAUGUC
rnacentral:rRNA from 1 species